UGCAUCGAUGAAGAACGCAGCGAAAUGCGAUAAGUAGUGUGAAUUGCAGAAUUCAGUGAAUCAUCGAAUCUUUGAACGCACAUUGCGCCCCUUGGUAUUCCAUGGGGCAUGCCUGUUCGAGCGUCAUUUGUACCUUCAAGCUCUGCUUGGUGUUGGGUGUUUGUCUCGCCUCUGCGUGUAGACUCGCCUUAAAACAAUUGGCAGCCGGCGUAUUGAUUUCGGAGCGCAGUACAUCUCGCGCUUUGCACUCAUAACGACGACGUCCAAAAGUACAUUUUUACACUCUUGACCUCGGAUCAGGUAGGGAUACCCGCUGAACUUAAGCAUAUCAAUAAGCGGAGGA
rnacentral:rRNA from 1 species